rnacentral:tRNA from 1 species
GUUACUGAUAGCUUAUAUAGAGCAUAACACUGAAGAUGUUAAGGAGACUUUCGGGUUUCAGGACA